UUUACUCCUCCCCUCGCCAAAGAGUGACGGUGACCCCGGGGUACAACUACAUCUAUAAGACAUACUUCAAGCUUCUGAACUUACCGGAGGGCACCAGCUAUACUAAACUGGUACUGCGCGUCAACAUCAAAGUCAACGGAUCGUCGAAGUUCUUUAAGCUGGGUGAUAUGCCAUUACAACAGUUAAAAUUUGGAUGGACAGAGAUUGGUGGAGAUUUUCUGACACCUGCUGGAGCCACCGAUGUUCAAGUUUAUAUAACAAUUGACAACACAGAAAUAAAUUUCAUUCAGGAUUCUGCAAGCAUGAAGCGUUUAAAACCGAAUCUGCACUGGAUGGGGCAUGCUGAAUCCCGAAUAAAUAAUAUUCGGAAAGCCCCAAUCAG